GGCUGUGACUCAGCGGUAGCGCAUAUGCUUGGCAUGUGUGAGGCACUGGGUUCGAUUCUCAGCACCA
rnacentral:tRNA from 1 species